GCAGUGGUGGUUCAGUGGUAGAAUACUUGCCUUCCACGUGAGAGACCCAGGUUCAAUUUCAGGCCAAUGCA
rnacentral:tRNA from 1 species